GACGAACGCUGGCGGCGUGCCUAAUACAUGCAAGUAGGACGCAGUUGCGAACGGGUGAGUAACGCGUAGGUAACUGCCUAUUAGAGGGGGAUAACUAUUGGAAACGAUAGCUAAUACCGCAUACUAGUAGAUGGACCUGCGUUGUAUUAGCUAGUAGGUAGGGUAAUGGCAUACCUAGGCGACGAUACAUAGCCGAGCUGAGAGGGUGAUCGGCCAACCUGGGACGUGGAAACGGCCCAGACUCCUACGGGAGGCAGCAGUAGGGAAUCUUUGGAAAUGGGGGGAACGCUGACCGAGCAACGGCGCGUGAGUGAAGAAGGUUUUCGGAUCGUAAAGCUCUGUUGUUAAGGAAGCGGUACUUAACCAGAAAGGGACGGCUAACUACGUGCCAGCAGCCGCGGUAAUAC
rnacentral:rRNA from 1 species